AGCCCUUGAAAUUGACACUCCAACAAUUCUGCAAGCAAAACGAAACCUUGAUUCUGUUUCUGCCUCAAUCCCUGCUCCUAUUCACCCAAUGAAUAAGAAGUUCAAACCAGUCCACAGAAACACUCAAUACACGAAUUUGUUUGAACCCAAUAAUUUAUUUCAAUUAUUGGUUCCUGAAGAUGAAUGUUGCAACAAUAAUUCUACCAAUGACAACAGUAACAUUCAAAUUCACAAUAGUUCUUCCC